rnacentral:lncRNA from 1 species
GUUCAAUGAGUUUUUCAGUAUCCAUGAUUAAAAGUAAUGCAAGAAAGACGAAACGAUGUUAAAAGGCUCAAUGACUGAGCUAAAGUUCAACCUGUUGAGUCCACAUAAGUCGUGACUUGACUGAAACUAGUCUGGACUUGAUGUGACACUAUGAGUGUGAAAGCAAAUUAUUUAGUUCUUGGUAUUUCAAGGCUAUAAAAGUUGGGCGAGUCCACAUGCAUCUGAUGUGACCGGACUGGACUUGAUGGGACUGGAUUUGAUGAGCUCUGUGUGAAAUGACCCUAAGUUGUAUGCUAUUAUGUCAAUGUUGCAUUUAUAUCAUAGAGAGGAAAUUCACGAGUCUAAUGAUGUUAUUUGGUAUCUUAAUAACAACAUCUAUAAGCUUAAAAGUCAGUUGGCCAGUGGCUGUAGAAAAGGCAAAAUAAAAUUUUUUGGGUAUUUUUUAAAAAUAAUUACUAAAUAUUUUUUAUAUCAAUAUAGUGCUUUUAAGUUUUUGAUUUAUUCUCUUUAAUUUUUAUUCCAUCUGAUAUUUGUAUUGAG